AUUGCACGCUGGCGGCAGGCUUAACCCAUGCAAGUCGAGCGAGCGGCGGACGGGUGAGUACUGUCUGGGAAACUGCCUGCUGGAGGGGUAUAACUACUGGAAACGGUAGCUUAUACCGCAUAACCUCAGAUGUGCCCAGAUGGGAUUAGCUAGUAGGUGGGGUAAUGGCUCACCUAGGCGACGAUCCCUAGCUGGUCUGAGAGGAUGACCAGCCACACUGGAACUGAGACACGGUCCAGACUCCGAAGGGAGGCAGCAGUGGGGAAUAUUGCACAAUGGGCGCAAGCCUGAUGCAGCCAUGCCGCGUGUGUGAAGAAGGCCUUCGGGUUGUAAAGCACUUUAAGCGAGGAGGCGUUACUCGCAGAAGAAGCACCGGCUAACUCCGUGCCAGCAGCCGCGGUAAUUC
rnacentral:rRNA from 1 species